CCAAGACACAGCUACCCACCAUAUCCAUUGUAGGGGUGUACCAAGACACCGCUACCCACCAGCUCCAGUGUAGGGUGUACCAAGACACCACCACACCCCCAGUUUCGGAGCCACCAACGGGCUCGAACCUACCAACCACCUGCAACACUGCCCAAUCCACACUAAACCUCAAGAUGCCCACUUUCUCCUCCAUCUACCCUCCGAUUUAACCAGGCCAUUCCCCGCCACAGCUCAGGACUUGACACCUAAAGCUCCUGAGCGACCACCACCACACCAGAAUAAGGCCUGUUGAAUGCCUUCCUG